CUACGUGCCAGCAGCCGCGGUAAUACGUAGGUGGCGAGCGUUAUCCGGAAUUAUUGGGCGUAAAGGGUGCGUAGGCGGCCUGUUAAGUAAGUGGUUAAAUUGUUGGGCUCAACCCAAUCCAGCCACUUAAACUGGCAGGCUAGAGUAUUGGAGAGGCAAGUGGAAUUCCAUGUGUAGCGGUAAAAUGCGUAGAUAUAUGGAGGAACACCAGUGGCGAAGGCGGCUUGCUAGCCAAAGACUGACGCUCAUGCACGAAAGCGUGGGGAGCAAAUAGGAUUAGAUACCCUAGUAGUCCACGCCGUAAACGAUGAAUACUAAGUAUUGGGGAAACUCAGUGCUGCAGCUAACGCAAUAAGUAUUCCGCCUGUGGAGUAUGCACGCAAGUGUGAAACAUAAAGGAAUUGACGGGGGCCCGCACAAGCGGUGGAGUAUGUGGUUUAAUUCGACGCAACGCGAAGAACCUUACCAGGCCUUGACAUCCCUCUGACCGCUCUAGAGAUAGAGUUUUCUUCGGGACAGAGG
rnacentral:rRNA from 1 species